rnacentral:rRNA from 1 species
GCGACCCCAAGGCAGAUGGAGUCGAGCUUGCC